rnacentral:rRNA from 1 species
UAAGGAAUAUUGGACAAUGGAGGCAACUCUGAUCCAGCCAUGCCGCGUGAAGGAAUAAGGCCCUAUGGGUUGUAAACUUCUUUUAGACGGGACAAAACCCCUUUACGUGUAAAGGGUUGAUGGUACUGUCAGAAUAAGCAUCGGCUAACUUCGUGCCAGCAGCCGCGGUAAUACGACGGAUGCAAGAGUUAUCCGGAAUUAUUGGGUUUAAAUGGUGCGUAGGCGGACUAAUAAGUCAGUGGUGAAAGCCUGCAGCUUAACUGCAGAAUUGCCAUUGAUACUGUUAGUCUUGAGUACAGUUGAGGUAGGCGGAAUGUGUCAUGUAGCGGUGAAAUGCUUAGAUAUGACACAGAACACCGAUUGCGAAGGCAGCUUGCUAAGCUGUAACUGACGCUGAGGCACGAAAGCGUGGGGAGCAAACA